rnacentral:rRNA from 1 species
UACGAAGGGUGCAAGCGUUGUUCGGAAUUACUGGGCGUAAAGGGUUUGUAGGCUGAAAUGUAAGUCAAGUGUGAAAUCCCCGAGCUUAACUUGGGACGUGCAUUUGAAACUGUGUUUCUUGAGUAUCGUAGAGGGUGGUGGAAUUGUAGGUGUAGGAGUGACAUCCGUAGAGAUCUGCAGGAACAUCAGAGGCGAAAGCGACCACCUGGCCGAUUACUGACGCUGAGGAACGAAAGCGUGGGGAGCAAACAGG